UACGUAGGGUGCAAGCGUUAAUCGGAAUUACUGGGCGUAAAGCGUGCGCAGGCGGUUAUGCAAGACAGAGGUGAAAUCCCCGGGCUCAACCUGGGAACUGCCUUUGUGACUGCAUAGCUAGAGUACGGUAGAGGGGGAUGGAAUUCCGCGUGUAGCAGUGAAAUGCGUAGAUAUGCGGAGGAACACCGAUGGCGAAGGCAAUCCCCUGGACCUGUACUGACGCUCAUGCACGAAAGCGUGGGGAGCAAACAGGAUUAGAUACCCUGGUAGUC
rnacentral:rRNA from 1 species